UAACCAUCAACUUUGAUUGCAGUUGCUAACAAUUUCACAUCUGCAAUUUCAUAAUAUAUUUGUUGUCCCUUGAUGAAAAGAAAAAAGGUAUCAGUGAGGUGCAAUUAAUUAUGAAGACUUUGAUGAAUAAUUCUCCGGUUGAAUCUCACCAUUACAAGGAAAGAUGAAGAAUCCAGAUGAGCAAUAUUUUGAAUGUACAGGGAUAAAUUGAGGCUCUGGAAAAGCUUAAUUACGGAUUAAGCAGUCCAUGAAUCCUGAUAAUUUCUCAUUAUUUGAAAAAUGUGAUGAGAUCACUAGAAAUGGGUUGUGCAAUUCAAAAGAUAUGAUUGGGUGAAAAGAAAGAUGAGAGGAGAUUUUAACUUUAUAACAUCAUUUGAGCUUUUUAAUGUAAUGUUUGUUUCUUUUUUUCGUAGUAA